GGGGCAUCCAUUCGGACAACAGUGUGGAAGUUAUCAUUAUAUCUCUGCGACUUGUGAAACAUGACAUCAAACUCUGUUAUUUGUCCUUAACUUGAGAACAAAAGGACUGCCCAAAAGGAUAUGAGGAAGGAAGGGAUGAUCGUUCGGCAUUGAACAACAAGUUGAUGUGCUCCUCCCUGGGGAAGACUGUCUGUCCUUUCCCAGCAUCCCAGUUGUCUGCAGCUCCCUAUGCAGAGAAAAGAAAAUCAUGAGCUGAAGAGAUGGCUUUAUGUGUGCUCGCUGCACACCUGCGAGGAUCUGACCGCAGGACCCAUACCAAUAUGGCUGCACUGGCAUCUGUACCCACAAUGCUGUGGGGUUAGGGACAGAAGCAUUGCUGGGGCCAGCCCAGCUCACGGUUUAGCAGGAGACCCUGACUCAAGAGAGAGGAUGCUGGAGCAGGACACCGUGCAUCCUCUCUGGUUUCUGUGAGUGCAUGUACAGGUGAGCACUCGAGCACA